rnacentral:rRNA from 1 species
UACGGAGGGUGCAAGCGUUAUCCGGAUUCACUGGGUUUAAAGGGUGCGUAGGAGGGCAGGUAAGUCAGUGGUGAAAUCUUCGAGCUUAACUCGGAAACUGCCGUUGAUACUAUCUGUCUUGAAUCCCGUGGAGAUGAGCGGAAUAUGUCAUGUAGCGGUGAAAUGCUUAGAUAUGACAUAGAACACCAAUUGCGAAGGCAGCUCACUACACAAUCAUUGACUCUGAGGCACGAAAGCGUGGGGAUCAAACAGG